AGAGUUUGAUCCUGGCUCAGCCUGAACGCUGGCGGCGUGGCUAAGACAUGCAAGUCGUACGGGGCCCGCAAGGGUCCAGUGGCGAACGGGUGAGUAAUGUAUCGCUAACGUACCCCUAUGUCCGGGAUAGCUGAGGGAAACUUCAGGUAAUACCGGGUGACAUUCUCUUUUCGCAUGAAGAGAGACUCAAAGGGAAACCGCAAAGGGAGCGGGCGAUAUCGUAUCAGCUAGUUGGUGAGGUAACGGCUCACCAAGGCAAUGACGCGUAGCCGGACUGAGAGGUCGGACGGCCACAUUGGGACUGAGACACUGCCCAGACUCCUACGGGGGGCUGCAGUAACGAAUCUUCCGCAAUGCACGCAAGUGUGACGGAGCGACGCCGCGUGUGGGACGAAGUCCUUCGGGAUGUAAA
rnacentral:rRNA from 1 species